AUGAAUAUAAUAUUUGGGAAGAGUAUGUUUUAAUUACUUUCUAGAGAGUGUAUGGUUGGUGAAAAUACAUAGUAAUUACUACUGAAGGUAGCCCACUUAGUCCUUUUGCUGAAAGAACGAAGUAAAGAGUAGGCAGAAGCGUGUUUGAGCGUUAAUCAAAUUCUAGAGUGCUCGAAAGUAGAAGAUUGAAAAUUUAUUUGCAAGCUAACUACUUUCUUGAAUAUAGGUGGUACCACGGAACAUCCGUCCUAUUU
rnacentral:ncRNA from 1 species